AAAAAAAUAUUUUUAAUACAAGUAUUUUUAUAAGCUCCAGUAAACGGCGGCUGUAACUAUAACGGUCCAAAGGUAGCGAAAUUCCUUGUCGGGUAAGUUCCGACCUGCACGAAAGGUGUAACGACUUGGAUGCUGUCUUAGAGAAAGAUUCGGUGAAAUAGAAAUGUCUGUGAAGAUACGGACUAUCUACACCUGGACAGAAAGACCCUAUGAAGCUUUACUAUAUUUUGAAAUUAAAAAUAAAAUAUAUUUGUGUAGAAUAAGUGGGAAACUAAUUAAUUUGUUUAUCUUGAAAUACCACUCUUAUAUAUUUUAUUUUUUUAUUAUAAUAUUGUUAACCAAUUAUAAAAAAAUUUUAAAAAGGUAGUUUGACUGGGGCGGUAGCCUCCUAAAGAGCAACGGAGGUGUACAAAGGUCUUUUUUUAAUUUAAAAAAUUUUUUAAAUUAAAACUAUAAAGGGAUAAAAAGGCUUGAUUGCAAGAGUUACUACUCGAGCAAGGACGAAAGUCGGUCUUAAUGAUCCGACAGUUCUUUGUGGAAAGGCUGUCGCUUAACGAAUAAAAGUUACUCUAGGGAUAACAGGCUGAUCUCCCCCGAAAGUUCCUAUUGACGGGGAGGGUUGGCACCUCGAUGUCGGCUCGUCGCAUCCUGAGGCUGAAGUAGGUCUCAAGGGUUGGUCUGUUCGCCCAUUAAAGCGGCACGUGAGCUGGGUUCAGAACGUCGUGAGACAGUUCGGUCCAUAUCCGGUGUAGACAUAAGAACAUUGAAAAAUUUUUCUUUUAGUACGAGAGGACCAAAGAAAUUAAACCUAUGGUGUAUUAGUUAUUUUACUAAAAGUAAUCGCUAAGUAGCCAAGUUUAUAAUAAAUAUUAUUCACUGAAAUCAUAUAAGUGAUAAAAAUAUUUUAAGAUAAAUGUUCUUGUCUUUAUAGAAUAAGAAAACAAAAAGAUAAUUUGAUAGAAAGAAAAAAUGUAUACAAUUAGCAAUAAUUUAAGCAUUUUUUACUUAAAAUUCGAUGAUAUAUUUUU
rnacentral:ncRNA from 1 species